rnacentral:rRNA from 1 species
CCUACGGGCGGCUGCAGUAGGGAAUAUUGGACAAUGGGUGCGAGCCUGAUCCAGCCAUGCCGCGUGCAGGAAGAAGGCGUUAUGCGUUGUAAACUGCUUUUGCCAGGGGAUAAAAUAACUGUGCGCAGUUGAUUGAAGGUACCUGGUGAAUAAGCCACGGCUAACUACGUGCCAGCAGCCGCGGUAAUACGACGGUGGCAAGCGUUGUCCGGAUUUAUUGGGUUCGAAGGCGGCGCUGGCGGUCAUGUGUGAAAUAUCUCAGCUUAACUGAGAGGGGGCCAUUGAUACUGCGGGGCUUGAGUACAGAUGAGGUAGGCGGAAUUGACGGUGUAGCGGUGAAAUGCAUAGAUAUCGUCAAGAACACCGAUAGCGAAGGCAGCUUACCAAGCUGUAACUGACGCUGAGGCACGAAAGUGUGGGGAUCAAACAGGAUUAGAUACCCUGGUAGUC